rnacentral:rRNA from 1 species
GAUGAACGCUGGCGGCGUGCCUAAUACAUGCAAGUCGAGCGAACAGAUAAGGAGCUUGCUCCUUUGACGUUAGCGGCGGACGGGUGAGUAACACGUGGAUAACCUACCUAUAAGACUGGGAUAACUUCGGGAAACCGGAGCUAAUACCGGAUAACAUAUUGAACCGCAUGGUUCAAUAGUGAAAGGCGGCUUUGCUGUCACUUAUAGAUGGAUCCGCGCCGUAUUAGCUAGUUGGUAAGGUAACGGCUUACCAAGGCAACGAUACGUAGCCGACGUGAGAGGGUGAUCGGCCACACUGGAAGUGAGACACGGUCCAGGCUCCUACGGGAGGCAGCAGUAGGGAAUCUUCCGCAAUGGGCGAAAACCUGACGGAGCAACGCCGCGUGAGUGAUGAAGGUCUUCGGAUCGUAAAACUCUGUUAUCAGGGAAGAACAAAUGUGUAAGUAACUGUGCACAUCUUGACGGUACCUGAUCAGAAAGCAACGGCUAACUACGUG